UUUAAUAAUAAGUUGUAAUUUAACAGGUUACGCUUAUUUUGAAAUAUCCAAAAAUAGUUGAUGUACCUAUAGAGUUUGGAAUGAUAUACAAUAAGUUUUUAUAGUUUGCUAUAAAUCCUAUGAUCAUAAAGAUUGUCUCAAAUAUUAAUUUUACCCCAUAUAUUGAGAUUGAUGAUUUUUUGAAUGCGAUUAACAAUUUUCGCACACCUUGGUGCUAAAAAAAUUCACCGGUUGGUUGAAAUUAGUUUUUGAGGAGAUUUAUAAAAUCAAGAGAUUUAUAGGAACCUACAGGAACUGGUUUCAUCUAAUUCCGAGAUUUCUAGGUACUUCAACCAGCUUUGGAAAUGCUAAAUUUAUAUAAAAAAAGGGGUCAAUUCUGCGACGAAUUUUGAAAUUCGUCGCAAAUCAGCGACGAACUUUGACAUUCGUCGCAGAUCAGCGACAAAUUUAAAAAUUCGUUGCAGAUUUUGCGACGAAUUUAUAUAUUCAUCGCAGAUUCUGCGACGAAUUUUGAAACUCGUCGCAGAUUCUGCGACGAAUUUUGAAAGUCGUCACAGAUUCUUCGACGAAUUUUGAAACUUGUCGCUGAAUUGACCAUUGUUAUUUUUAAAAAAUAAACUUUCCGAAGCCGAUUGAGAUACCUGGAGAGAUCAGAAUGACAUGAAACAAGUUUCCAUGGGUUGCUAUAAAUCUCCUGAUUAUAAAGAUAGCUUCAAAUAUUAAUUUUACCCAAUAUAUUGAGAUCGUUGAUUUUUUUAAAUGUGAUUAACAAUUUUUGUACACCUUCGCGUAAAAAAAAUCACCGGUCAGGUAAAAUUAGUGUUUGAAGAGAUUUAUAAAAUUAGCGGAUUUAUAGGAAUUCUUAGGAACUGAUUUCAUUUAAUUCCGAGCUCUAUAAAUGUCUCAAUGAAAAACUAAAUUUAUAUAUUUAAAAAAGAAUUACUUUUGCGAUGAAUUUCAAAAUUCGUCACAGAUUAGCAACGAAUUUCAAAAUUCGUUGCAAAUCAGCAAUGAAUUUCAAAAUUCGUCGCAGAUUCAACUACGAAUCUAACAACGAAUUAAUCUAUGUGGCAAAAAAGAAAAACCUAACUUUUUAACUCACCCGUUCCUUUCCCCUUUGCCCUAAUUUGCCUUGGCAGCGACGACGCGUGGAGGUGAUUCCCGUCCUCUUCAUACCUCUUUUCCUUCUCCGACGGGUCUUCCGGCAUUCGUCCGCCGGCAGCUGGCUCUCUCCUGCCGCAGGAGGCCGUUGCUAGCACUGGCCGCCCGCGGGAGCCCUCGCUUGGCGCUGGCAGGUCGCACCUGGCUCUGGCCGGCCGCGGGAGACCGCGCCUGGCGCUGUCCGGCCGCGGGAGGCCGUGCCUGGCUUAGGUAGGCUGCGAGAGGCCGCACUUGGCUCUGGCCGACCGCGGGAGGCUGCCCCAGGCGCUGGCUGGCCACCGGAGGCCGCGCCUAGCUCUCGGCAGGCGCGGGACGCCUAUGGUGUAAUGGGCCUAGGGCAGUUUCCUGCGAUGUAGAAGGUCAAGUUAGGGAUCGCGGCGGUGACGCUGGUGCCGAUUCACGUGGUUGCAAGGGUGUUGAUACCCGUGCUUUACUACCUUAUCUUCCGGUUCUGCACGCUGUUCUCGCCUCCGAGUUGGGAGAAUGGCCAGGAGGACUAUGCUCACAUGACAGGGUGGAGGAGGGCGGUGGUUGUGCAGUGAGGGAGAUUCGCCUCUAGAGCAAUGCUCUUUACGUUUGGUUUCUAUUGGAUCAAAGAGAGUCACAUGAGUCUCGACAAUGACGUAUUACCAGAUUGGGUUAGAACUAUCUCUCCAAGUUUUAAUUAAGUUGUUGAUUCAUUCUUUAUCCCUUGAUUUAUUGUUUCUUGUUCAGUUCAUGAUGUUGAAUGUUCCUUUUAUUCAUCUUAAACAGCAUUAUUAUUGUUUUUAAUGACAACUUAGUGAUCAAUUCACUUAAAAAUCAUCAAGAAAUACCUCCUACAUGCGUAAGUUUUUUUACUUUCCUGAAGGGUGAUACCAAAUGAGAAGAUGGUGAAAUAGAUCCAAAGGUAUAUGCAAACUUUUUAAUAAUGAUAAUUUGUGACAACAAAAUGAGGCGAUGGUGAAAUAUUUUCGAAGUUUCUUGUUCUGUUCAUGCUGUUACGCGCCCCUAUUAUUCGAUACCAAAAUUCUAAAACCAUGUUUCUUGAUGUAAAUCAUUGAACUGGUCUUUUAAACAAAUAUAACUCUUCAUGCUUUGGAGAUUUUCCUCUUUCAGAUGUAGGAACCUCUAUAGAACAUUAGAUGUAAAUCUUAUAUUAUUUUUCUAAACUCCAUAAUUUUUGAAAUUAGGUCAAUGAAUUUGAAAAGUCAUAUGCAGUUGUCUCAAAUCAUAUUUCUUAUGUGGAUAUUCUUUAUCAUACGUCAUCAGCCUUUCCAAGUUUUGUUGCAAAGAGAUCAGUAGCUCAGCUUCCCUUGGUUGGUGUCAUCAGGAUUGGUCAACUGCAAUGAAAAUCAAUGUCGGAGAAAAAAAGAAUAUUCGAAGAAGAUGGAGAAGAUUUAGUGAUGUUUGGAUAUUUGUUGAUGUAUGGAUAGUUUAAAACUUCUUAUGAUAUUUGGAUUGUAUGGAUAUUAGACCUUUUUGAUGUAUGAAAUGUUUUGGAUUGUAUGGAUA